ensembl:lncRNA
CUUCGCUCUCCAGCAACACAAACAGUAUCUCUCACUCACAACUUUGGUAAGUUUUUCGGGUUUUUUAAAAAAAAUGUCUUUCCUGUUUUUCUCUUAAGCUCAUUUUUGCUGCGCACAUCUUUUACACUGAAACUGCUUUGUCUGCUUUUCCCCUGUUGUGAUUUUUAAUACUUUGGAUUUUGAAGUACUUGAAGCAUUUAUUUAAUCUAUGCUAAGCUACAUUUGAGGUACAAUUACAGCACCUCAGGCAAUAAUUUGCAACUUAGAUCAGUUAUUCUGAUCCAUUUUGGCUUUAAUUGCUCUUUGUAAGUGGACCUGCUUUAGUUCUUGAUUAAUUUUGCAAUAGUUGAUGUCGGCUCUCGGUCUGAUGAACUCCGAGUGAAAAAGUUUCCACCCAUGGCGGGCUGACUGAUGCUGUUCAGUUAUCAUUUUGACAGGAAACCAGCAAACGCUCUGAGCGGUCUGCAAAGCUUCCUGUCAUCCUAGUGAACACAAUUUAGAGUUUAACAAGGGCAGACUUCCUGUAACAUCUCCAGUAUCCUGAGUAUAAAAUUCACCAAUGGAUCUCCUGAUGACAAGUUCACAGCUGCUUUGAAAGCACCAGGAGUUUGUGACUGUAAAGUUCAGCCUGUAACUGAGACUCCAAACCAUCCAGGAAUUUUUUUUCUUUAAUUCAACUGUAACUUCUUCCUAAGGAGAAUUUCAACUGGUGGAUAAAGUUCACAGGGAUGGGGGAUUCUGAACAAAACAGCACUCCAUUGGUGCUGGGCCUUUUGUUCAUCCUAUUAUUCCUCCUUGUUGUGCUCUUUGUACUGUACAAGAAGCUGAACAGGGAGGCUGAAGGGGAAUAUACAGUCCGACGCAUCGUCUACAAGGAAGGAGGUCUCAGGGACCAGGCGAGAAGUGCAGCGUUAGCUGUGGGGGCACGUCUUGGGGUCCAGCUGUGGCCUGGAAGUGAUGAAGAAGAGGAAGGGGAGGAAAUGCAGGAAGUCCAAGAUGAAGAAGAACAGGUGGAUAGUGGUGGUAGUCAGGAGAGUGACACAGAGGGAGAUGAAGAGGAGGAGGACAACGACACUGGUAAUGCUAAGGAGAAAGAAAGUAAUACUUCAAAUGAUGACUCAAGUAUUGGGAGUUCAGAGGCAGGAGAGCAAACCAAACUUAACGAUGAGUCUGAGCCAGAGGGAGAGACGGAAGAUAAAAGUGAAGAAAAGGAGGAGAAAGUGGGAGAAGAGCAGAGUAAAGCUGAGGCAAGUGGAGGGCCGGGAUUGCUGAUAGAUCUAAAGCAGUUCUCUGGAAGUGCGAUCUGGUCUGAAGAAGGUGGUGAGGGUAAAGGUGACGUGACGGCGUUGUGAGAAUCAGAAAUAAUGAAUAAGACUGAGGAAACUGCCAAAUCAGGAUUUCACAAACAUCAGCUUCAUCCCCUAAAUGUCUCCCCACUGCAAAUUCCUUCUAUUAGUCUAAAAAAAUAAAAUAAAAUAAAAGAUACAUGCACCCACCCAUUAAACCCAAAGAGCUUUAAUCUUUCAUGACCUCACUGACCUUGCUUUCCUCUGGUCAAAUUUUUUUGAUGAAUAAAGCAGUUAUAUAAACAUACAGGGGUACUCUAGAUUGUAACUGUAAAGUGUAAAAAAAAAAACCAAUACUUGUCUAUACUUUUUUGCUUUAAAUGUUUAUUUUAAUCUACAUAAGAAAUUGAAAACUGGAAACUUUUUUUAGUGUUUUCUGCUCUGUUUUUUGUUGUUCUUUAUGCCGUUUGUAGAAAUAAAAAAAGAGUAGUAAUUAAAUAUAGUGAGAACAAAAUAAUGCGUUAUUUGUUUUAUUGAAAACAAGUGAAUGUAACCGAUCAAACUUUAAGUCAACAUACAUUUUAUAUGGUGUGUAAAUGGUUGAAAAUUUAAUAAACCACAU